UUGUCUUCGGGGCAGGGUGAAAUUCCCGACUGGCGGUACAGUCCGCGAGCACAUAAGUGCAUGAUUUGGUGAGAUUCCAAAACCAACGGUAGAGUCCGGAUGAGAGAAGUC
rnacentral:ncRNA from 1 species